AGUGAACGCUGGCGGUAGGCCUAACACAUGCAAGUCGAACGGCAGCACAGUAAGAGCUUGCUCUUACGGGUGGCGAGUGGCGGACGGGUGAGGAAUACAUCGGAAUCUACCUUUUCGUGGGGGAUAACGUAGGGAAACUUACGCUAAUACCGCAUACGACCUACGGGUGAAAGCAGGGGAUCUUCGGACCUUGCGCGAUUGAAUGAGCCGAUGUCGGAUUAGCUAGUUGGCGGGGUAAAGGCCCACCAAGGCGACGAUCCGUAGCUGGUCUGAGAGGAUGAUCAGCCACACUGGAACUGAGACACGGUCCAGACUCCUACGGGAGGCAGCAGUGGGGAAUAUCGGACAAUGGGCGCAAGCCUGAUCCAGCCAUACCGCGUGGGUGAAGAAGGCCUUCGGGUUGUAAAGCCCUUUUGUUGGGAAAGAAAAGCAGCAGGUUAAUACCCCGCUGUUCUGACGGUACCCAAAGAAUAAGCACCGGCUAACUUCGUG
rnacentral:rRNA from 1 species